ensembl:lncRNA
CCUCCCCUGCCAUACACGGCGCUUUGACUGAGUGUCAUGUUUUUGUCCGUGACGGGACACUGUCAGACCUGAAGUUAGUGCACGGCGGAACCACGGCUGACGGUGAGUCGUUGGCAUAUAUAAUUUGUUUUACUGUCAGAUUAAUCCAGAAUUCGUAUAGGUUAACCGAAACCGAAAAUCGAGCCGAAAGGACAACGAUAUUCUAUUUCAACCUAGUGCAGCACAUAACGGUCUGGGCUGCUGCACUCUCCUUAUGAACCGCAGACUGAACAAGCGAACUGUGAGGAAACAAACGCGUCAGGUUACUCGAUUAAACAUAAACCACUUCACCAAAGCAGAGAUUAGAGUCUCGUCAAGUAUGGAUAUAACGCUAACGAUAGAACGAGAACGUGUUUCCCCUCGAGUUUGGGUUAACUUUGUGUCCUUGCGUCGUUGCCCCCAAGGACUGUUAUAAUUUCCAUGCGCAUAACCUGUAUCACCGCUGAAAGAAUGAACUCCUGAGACACAGCCAUCAACAAUCUGCCCUGCAGUUUAGCAACCACUCUCAGUAGCCACCUAUGCAGACUUCUUUAGAUUGCUGUCAGCGCCACAGCUGCCGGUUAAUGUGUGCUAGACGAAUUCAACACAGCUGUAGAGCUGUUUACUUCAGUGCCAUACUGGACACACACACUGGUGACUGGGCUCCUGGAUACUGGCCACAUGGUUGCAAGAACUGCAGGAGCAUAGGCUACUGAACACACAAACACAUACAGCUGUUCAGUAUUCAGUUCAGUAUAAGUCAGCAGUCUGAAACCAUGAAGUCUGCACAUGCUUCCCUUCGGGGUGUAGGCACGUCGCUGCGGAAUUUUGCCCCAAGCAGACUGAGAAGUUGGCAAACUAGUGUGGGGUACAUUGGCACAUGAAUGACAGAAAAUCAAACCACAAUGUUUACAUGUCAAUUUCACCUACAUCUGGGAUUUUGUAAUGUAUUCUUACGUAUUGAUCAUAUGUUUGUCAAUACACGCCGAUCGUAAUCUCUUUUAGCACCUUAAAUUAAUCCUGAAGGGCUAAAGUUAACACACAGUUUCUGUAAUAGAUGCGGAUAUUCUACCAACAGUCUGUGCUGGUCAGGAGCUCAGUAUGCAGUGCAUAAGACUUGUACCAGAAAUAUGUCGUGGGCGAAUCUUGCUGCGAAAGCCACAAACGAUGUGUUAGCUGUCCAGCCAAUGUCUCUAUCUGCACACAAAAUUGCCCAGAAUCCAUAAAACUCAACCAUGAACUCUGUGGAAAUGUCUUUCUUAGUUUGUUGUUGAAGAUGUGGUUGAAAAGAUCAAGGGCCCUAAUUGAAUUGACGAGCAAUGAGCGAAGUCCAUUGUGCAUGAACUAAAGCUAUCAUGUGGUCUGUGGGAUGUUUACGCUUAGGAUCUUGCUCAUGUAAUUAAAUUAGCAAAAUUAUUUUUUCCAAGUUAGCGCUUAGGGUCCCAAAUGUUUCAGUCUUCAGACUGCCAUCAGAGGUCCAGUUCGGGGGGAGUUGCGAUAUUAGAUUACUGUUUGGUUAAUUCUACUGUUGAUUGAAUUCAUGUGAUUACCAAUACAUUCUUUUAAAUACAUCUUUCAUUCACGAAACCCCUCUUACCAAAGGCAUUUACUGGGUAAUGAAUUGCAUGCAUAUGUUUGCCAGUUGAACAGAUGUUCUACCAAGCUGAACAGAUACAGCGGGUAAAAUAAGUAUUGAACAACACGUCACCAUUUUUCUCAGUAAAUAUAUUCCCAAAAGUGCUAUUGACAUGAAAUUGUUACCAGAUGUUGGUAACAACCCAAGUAAUCCAUACAUACAAAGAAACCAAAACAAGUUAGUUCAGAAAUUAAGUUAUGUGUAAUAAUGUGAAGUGACACAGGGAAAAAGUAUUGAACACGCUUACUGAUAUUUAUUUAAUACUUUGUACAAAUGCCUUUGUUGGCAAUGACAGCUUCAAAACGCCUCCUGUAUGGAGAAACUAGUCCUAUGCAUUGCUCAGGUGUGAUUUUGGCCCAUUCUUCCACACAAACAGUUUUUUUAAGAUUUAUUUUUGUGCCAUUUGUCCUCCAAACAUGGUGUGUAUUAUGGCAUCCAUUCCAAAGAGUUAAAUUUUGCUCUCAUCUAACCAGACUAUAUUCUCCCAGUAUUUCACAGGCUUGUGUAGUUGUUGUGCAGCAAACUUUAAACAAGCUUCAACAUGCUUUUUCUUCAGCAAUGGAGUCUUCCGUGGUGAGUGUGCAUACAGGCCAUGGCGGUUGAUUGCAUUACUUAUUGUUUUCUUUUAAACAAUUGUACCUGCUUAUUCCAGGUCUUUCUGAAGCUCUCCACAAGUGGUCCUUGGCUCUUGGACAACUCUUCUGAUAAUUCUUUUCACUCCUCUGUCAGAAAUCUUGGGGCACCUGGUCGUGACCAGUUUAUGGUGAAAUUAUGUUAUUUCCACUCCCGGAUUAUGGCCCCAACAGUGCUAACUGGAACAUUCAGAAAAUCAGAAAUGUGUCCGUAACCAAUGGCAUCAGUAGGUUUUGCAACAAUAAGGUUGCAAAAGUUUUGAGAGCGCUCUUUGCUUUUACCCAUCAUGAGAUGUUUCUUCUGUGACACCUUGGUAAUGAGACACAUUUGUAUAGGCCAUCAGUUGGGAUUUAACCAGCUGAUAUUAAUUUGCACUGACAAGGGGCCGGAUUGCUUUCUAAUUACUGAUAGAUUUCAGCUGUUGUCUUGGCUUUCCAUGCCUUUUUGCACCUCCCUUCAUGUAUUUAAUACUUUUUCCUUGUGUCAUUUCACAUUAUUACACAUAACUUAAUUUCUGAAAAUAUUUGUUUGUUUCUUUGUAUGUGUAGAUUACUUGGGUUGUUACCAACAUCUGGUGAAAAAUGUAUGUCAAUAGCACCUUUGGAAAUAUAUUUACUGAAAAUGGUGACGUGUUCAAUACUUAUUUUACCUGCUGUAUGCCAGAACAAUAAAUGUGCAGUUCACUGCAAAAGCUUCAGAUAAUGUGUUAGUAGGCCAGCCCGUGACCUCAUCUCCACACCAAAACAGACCAGAAUAUCUGAAGUGUCAAUGAGGUUCUCUCAUCAUUUGUUUCAGUAAUAUAAUGAUGUGAAUAGUGCUUGACAACAAGAAAUGGCCCUCAUACCGCUAUGAGAACAGCCAUCCUGGAACAGCCUAUAAACAGCCUAUAUACAGCGACCUGUAAAGGAACAGGGAGUAGUUGUCAUAAUAGAACACCACUUGGGUUACACUCCACUCUGAGCUGCAUAGAUGUGAAAGAUAUCAUUGGUCUGGGUGGAAAUGCUAAACAGAUUUCCCGUGAAAACACCACUGUUAUACUGUAAUAUAACAGACUUCUAUGUAAGCUCUGACGUUAGUUGCGGUUGCGUGAUUCUAGCAAAGAACUCGAUGAAAUGUCGGUCUGAUGGUCGAUGACGGUUUAUUCUACGUAACAGACUUCGAGCACACACAACACGCUACGAUGGAGAGAGAGAGGGAGAGAUUAGUAGGUAUGGUCCAUAGUGUAGCUUCUGUUUGGCCUUGUCUUCACAUGCCUCGAUGUCUCCUCAAUUCUCCUUGCUCCGUUCCCUCACCACUCGUAGCGGUCGGUGUCUCUACGCGCAAUUCUUUCUUCAACGCAACACACUCAGUAUACAAGUUACAUCUCAGUUAUAAUAGAUAGAAAUACACAACUUAGCAUAAUGGGUGCAUGCUGGGUGUGAAUGUCAGCAGACAGGAAGGGUCUUGCUGACCAUUUGUGUGUUAAUGAAGGUGGCGAGAAUGUGAUACAUUUUUGUGGGGGAGGAUUUCAUAUGAGUUGAUAGUAUCUGAAAAACGCCUAAAUCUAACAGAUGCAAAGAGUGUCCUCUUUGGAAGAGCACAGUUCAUUAAACUGAACAUUUCUGUUCUCUCCAAUGUGAAAAAAAGCUUCUGCUAAAAAUAGCCUACACACUAUUGUUUUGUGUGAUGCUUGAUUUAAUUGAUGAGAUUGCCAAACCACCUGAUUCUUUUAAUUACAUCUUUAAUUCCCCUGACCAAAGGGAUUUAUGGUGUAAUGAAUUGCAUCCAUGUGUUUGGCAAUUCAUUGCCUGCUAAGGGAAUUACACCUCUCUCUGCCAGUGCACAGGUGCUAUGCUCUACCAAGAUGAACAAAUAUGCCAGGACAAUAAAGCUAGCUACUCUGAGUAAAGACUCUGACAUGGACUGGUUGAAAUCAGAACCAGAUGUAUUUACAAGAUGUCAGCACAUUUUUAUGAUAACUGUGGCACAAAAAAAAGCAACAACCAACAAAGUUAACAUCAGCCCUUGUUGUUGGUUCAAAGCUAUUGAUUCUUAUCACAGAGUUCAUAUGCACCAGUGGGUUUCAUCUGAAGGGCAUAUGCACACACAGGCUGCAUACCCUGCUAACUGCUUCAGCUUUGCUAAUAGCGGUUUAUCGUCUUUACAAGACACUUGAUCAGGCAGUGUAAUGAGACACAGAAGAAGUAUACUUCUGUUUUCUGCUACAAGCAGUCUCUCUGCAGUUAGCUUAGAACCAAACUAGGUUCUCUCUCUCUCUCUCUCUCUCUCUCUCUCUCUCUCUCUCUCUCUCCCUCUCUCUCUGUCUCAUCGCAGAGGCUGCUAGACUGUCUGAGCUGAACAGGAGCAUUUAAGGAUUUAAGAGCACAAUUUCAGAUAACCACACUUCUCCUCUCCUCCAGAUAACCACAUUUCUUCUUUAUCUACCCCCUGUGCUAACAGCUCUGCUAAAUCAAUACAGAUCUCAAGGAGAGAGAACGAGUGAGAGAGAGAGAGAGAGAGAGA